GACGAACGCUGGCGGCGUGCUUAACACAUGCAAGUCGAACGGAAAGGCCCUGCUUUUGUGGGGUGCUCGAGUGGCGAACGGGUGAGUAACACGUGAGUAACCUGCCCUUGACUUUGGGAUAACUUCAGGAAACUGGGGCUAAUACCGGAUAGGAGCUCCUGCUGCAUGGUGGGGGUUGGAAAGUUUCGGCGGUUGGGGAUGGACUCGCGGCUUAUCAGCUUGUUGGUGGGGUAGUGGCUUACCAAGGCUUUGACGGGUAGCCGGCCUGAGAGGGUGACCGGCCACCUUGGGACUGCGAUACGGCCCAGACUGCUACGGGAGGCAGCAGUGGGGAAUAUUGCACAAUGGGCGGAAGCCUGAUGCAGCAACGCCGCGUGCGGGAUGACGGCCUUCGGGUUGUAAACCGCUUUCGCCUGUGACGAAGCGUGAGUGACGGUAAUGGGUAAAGAAGCACCGGCUAACUACGUG
rnacentral:rRNA from 1 species